UACGUAGGCAGCAAGCGUUGUUCGGAGUUACUGGGCGUAAAGGGUGUGUAGGCGGUUCUUUAAGUUUGGUGUGAAAUCUCCCGGCUCAACCGGGAGGGUGCGCCGAAUACUGAGGGACUAGAGUGCGGGAGAGGAAAGUGGAAUUCCUGGUGUAGCGGUGAAAUGCGUAGAUAUCAGGAGGAACACCGGUGGUGUAGACGGCUUUCUGGACCGUAACUGACGCUGAAACACGAAAGCGUGGGUAGCAAACAGG
rnacentral:rRNA from 1 species